CCGAGGAAGAUGAAGGUGAAAAACUGAAAAUUAAAGAGAUGAUAUAGUAGGAGUAGUUAAAAACAGACUCUUUGUCUUCAUAGGCAAGGAAAUCCAGCUGUCUCUCACUCUCUUAUCUUUUUUUGUUUUGACAAUUUUACUUAUUUGUAGCUUUUUUUUGACAUACUUUAUCUUACUUGUUUAAUUAACUUUUUGACAUACGGGAGUAGUAACUUUUUUAGCUAUUGUUAUUUAAUUAUGUUAUGUAACUAGUUUUUGAGCCUGUUUAUUUAAUUAUAUAAUGAUUAUUUAGCCGUCUUUUAAAAUGUUCUAUAUAGAGAAUUUAUAAUAGUUUUGACAUUAUUAUGAUAUAAAUAUAAAAAAUAUGAGCCGCUAAAAAAAUGACAUCACGCCGCGAAACCGCGAUCCGUUCUAUUUAACCAUUAUGAGCGUUUUCCGCAACAUCGCGACCGUUACCGCGAACACGUUUUUUUCCAUGACGAUGGUAAAACUUAUAAAAUAUUAAUAUAAAAACUUAUAAAAUAUUAAUAUUUUGAAAAGAUAUAUUAUAUACUAUCAUUUUUUUUCAUAUACUAAAAAAUAAAUAGGGUCAAAUUGAAUUAUGAGAAUAGUGCAAAAGGUCAAAACAGUGCGAGUAUUUCGGAGCGGAAUGAGUAUUACGGAGUACUCCAUACUUCGUCGUACAUUUGAUUUUAGGUUAAUAAAAAUAAGCUUGAAAAUCUGUACGUAUGACUUUUCAUAUUCUUAUUACGGAGUACUGCUUAAUAACUGAUAAUGUGUGUGUUUUUGUUUGUAAAGCUCUAUAUUGGCGACUCUAGCAUCCCUAGCAGCAUCCGGAAAGGCAAUCCUUUUGUAUAUUCUUGUUUUGCAUAUCGAGAGAUUUUCAAGUAUAUACCUGUUAUGAAUGUCCCUAGUGAGCACGGUGGCAUUCCUACUAUUUUCAAUGACUCGAAAUAGGAAAUUAUAGGACACCACAUGGACAUAUCAAAAUUUUCGAGACAAGAUGUGGUGUUCUACUGUUCUAAGGGGAUUGAAAUUACUUUGCGAGCUAGAGUUAUAGGAUGGGAUGUCUCGUUUGGUGUAAACUUUUUUGGUGCAAGCGAGGAACAUUCCCGUCUUAUUCUUAAUUUCUAUGAACCUGGACCGUAUCUUGAAUUCAAGAUGAUAAAUGUCGAAGAAGACGGGAUACUUUUGCUAAGUGUUUAUAAUAACAAUUUUUCAACGAAGAAACUAGUAUCCCUUUUGAGUUCAUUUCCAAAAUGUUUUAUAAAAGAGAUAAAUGUAGGAAAAGAUAAACCGCACGAGAAGAUACAAGAUCUUCAACAACAGAAGGCGUAUAUGAUUUAUAGUCAAGUUAAGAAAAUUAUACGUUUGGAGCAUAAAUGAUACAUAGUACUUAAACAUAUGUUGUUUACGGCCUUUUUUUUUUAUUUAUUGUCAACUUUUAUUAAUAAUUGUCAACUUUUAUUAAUACUAUGAAAAAAGUACUUUGUAUUGUAUUGUUUUAUUUUGGACCUUUAUUUAUAUCGG